rnacentral:rRNA from 1 species
AUUGAACGCUGGCGGCAGGCCUAACACAUGCAAGUCGAGCGAGCGGCGGACGGGUGAGUAAUGUCUGGGAAACUGCCUGAUGGAGGGGGGUAACUCCUGGAAACGGUAGCUCAUACCGCAUACCCUCAGAUGUGCCCAGAUGUGAUUAGCUAGUAGGUGGGGUAACGGCUCACCUAGGCGACGAUCCCUAGCUGGUCUGAGAGGAUGACCAGCCACACUGGAACUGAGACACGGCCCAGACUCCUACGGGAGGCAGCAGUGGGGAAUAUUGCACAAUGGGCGCAAGCCUGAUACAGCCAUGCCGCGUGUAUGAAGAAGGCCUUCGGGUUGUAAAGUACUUUCAGCGGGGAGGCGUUACCCGCAGAAGAAGCACCGGCUAACUCCGUGCCAGCAGCCGCGGUAAUUC